rnacentral:rRNA from 1 species
UACGUAGGGGGCAAGCGUUGUCCGGAUUUAUUGGGCGUAAAGAGCUCGUAGGCGGUUCCGUAAGUCGAGUGUGAAAAAUCUGGGCUCAACCCCGAGUCGGCCGUGCGAACUGCGAGACUGGAGCAGAUCAGAGGCAGGCGGAAUUCCGGGUGUAGCGGUGGAAUGCGUAGAGAUCCGGAAGAACACCGGUGGCGAAGGCGGCCUGCUGGGACAGUGCUGACGCUGAAGCGCGACAGCGUGGGGAGCAAACAGG